AUUGAACGCUGGCGGCAGGCCUAACACAUGCAAGUCGAGCGGAUGAAGGGAGCUUGCUCCUGGAUUCAGCGGCGGACGGGUGAGUAAUGCCUAGGAAUCUGCCUGGUAGUGGGGGAUAACGUCCGGAAACGGGCGCUAAUACCGCAUACGUCCUGAGGGAGAAAGUGGGGGAUCUUCGGACCUCACGCUAUCAGAUGAGCCUAGGUCGGAUUAGCUAGUUGGUGGGGUAAAGGCCUACCAAGGCGACGAUCCGUAACUGGUCUGAGAGGAUGAUCAGUCACACUGGAACUGAGACACGGUCCAGACUCCUACGGGAGGCAGCAGUGGGGAAUAUUGGACAAUGGGCGAAAGCCUGAUCCAGCCACGCCGCGUGUGUGAUGAAGGUCUUCGGAUUGUAAAGCACUGUAAGUGGGGAGGAAGAGAAGUAAGUUAAUACCUUGCUGUUUUGACGUUACCAACAGAAUAAGCACCGGCUAACUUCGUG
rnacentral:rRNA from 1 species